rnacentral:lncRNA from 1 species
AGAUCACCACAUGGUGCUGUUGGCAAAAACACGAAGACCAAAUGGGACAGAAUGCGGCAAUGCAUCCAUCCACUGGCGAGACAAAGUUCUAUCAUUAUUAAACCAUCAACGUGUUCAACGACGCAGUAACUCCCAACACCCUACAGUGAUUCCAACAGCCAUAGGAUACCGACCAGCGUACACACAACACCACCACGGCGACUGCAACAUCCCCGUCUCCUGCCUCUCUGAAAUCUAAUCUUUUCCUCCAUUCCCAAUAGUCCCAUAAAGCCAUGUUUUCUAUGAUCAAGAGCGUUGCUAGUCAAAUAUUGAUAUUCUGUGGUACAGCAUCCUCCAUUCUAUCCCAGAGUGACCGUAAAACGUCACAGACGCGAAAAGACAGUUGAAACUUUAAACUGACGUAUAUGCGAGAGAAGCUGAGUAGCGAUAUUCACAAAGGGAGGCAAAUAUUUCAUCCUUUUUGGGAUCCCUCCCCGGCGUUUUAUACUGUAAUGUAUCGGUCCCGAGUUCGAAUCGUGUUUCAACCACAGUUGAGAAUACUCGCCAAAAGAGAUUUUCUUCUACGAAAAUUACGCCCCAAAGUGUUUCUGUAAGAGAAAUUUAUUGUCCUGCCGAUUCAUGUAUAUGUUAAAGCUGACGUGGUAGUUGUGAAGAUUUACGAUGACGUUUUUGUAGAGAAUAGUAUGAGAACCCUCUAGAGUGGAGACGAUAGCUCAGCUAUGAUUGAUGUCGGCGGGAGUUAUACAAUCUUUAAAUCUGACAGUAAAGACACACGGAUAAGAACAUUGACUUACCCAAUUAAGGACUCAAUGGGCGAGAACCUCCCUGUGUUAUUUGCGGAUGUCUCACGUUCUCGGGUGCAGGUGAUGCAGAUAACUAGCUGUUUACACUUGCAGUGAAUUGUUUUGUUUCAGGAGAUUGUGUUGAGACUAAAUUUACCUUCAGUCGGUUGCCAUUUCUCACAAUCGGCUAUAACAUUUUUGUUUGGUCAUUUUAAUUUUUUAUGUAUAUGUCUUAUUUUUUUACACUGAUGUUAAUCCAUUUGUCACAAAGCUACUAAUAUAUUUAUGUGCCCGGUUGUUCGACAAAGGUUUCGCUUCUGGUAAGGUAGGAUUAUUUUUUAAUCGUCCACCCCACUGUUCUUGUCUCGUGGGUUAGAAUAGAUAGGUAGAAUAGAUAGGAUGAUCACUUUGUAUUUUUACAUGGGUAAUAGUUCUGUUGUAGUACAGUUAUUUGCCUUAAUGCCUGUUGUUUUCUGGUCCAGCGUUGUCAUUUACUGGGCUCUAGAAGAAGCUGAGUAGAGUGAGCAGAUUCACUCAUUACUAUCCAAACACAAUAUAAUUUAUGACCCAACAAUCUCAGGAACCAAAACAUUUAAUAUUUCGUGCCAUUGAAAAAUACACCGUACAAUACCGCUUUUGAACAACAUUUAUACGUUUGCAAUUUGGAAACAAUGACAUUCCACAGCGCUGGUCGAAAGUGCUUACGGUAUUACGCAUCAGUUUGACCUUCACCUUAACUAUUGACCUUGAAAUGACGCAGGCCUUUAAGGUGACAAAUCGCCAAACAUUAGGAUAUGCAUUUGAAGGGUACACACUAUUAUACGGGUAGACCACCCGUAUGUGCGCUGAAAUACCAUGUCAGACGGGCAUAUGAUGGAUGCAUUGAAGUACCUCUGUCCAAUCGAGAGGUUGGCCACCCAGUCGACCCUCCAUAUUCAUACGGGUGGGUUGAUCUUCGAUAUUAAAAUGAAAUAUGAUAUCAUGUUUUAUUAAAGAUUAUUUUAAGUGGA